CCUAUCCACACUCACCUGCAUACUUUGUAUCUUAGUCCCUGCCUUCUCAGUCAUGUAAGUCAACUGAUACUGAGUUUCUAGUAACUAGUAUAGACCAAAUAUAUACCCCUAUUGAGAGCUUUGCUUAGUUCCCUAGAAAUGAAUCUCUAGAAAUAGAAGAUUGUAAUUUGUGGAAUAUUUGAGAGAGGAGAGGGCUUCAGAGAAGCUGCUGUGUCUGACUGUGAUCACUGUGUCGUUUGUUUAUUGAACAUAGGCUGUAAAACGACUUUCUUCUCUUCCCCAUGCUUUUCCAUGUUCCUCGCUCUCUCUCUUUUUUCUCUCCUAUUUCUCACUUUCCCACGCUUGUGUCACUCACAUUACAUAAAAUAUAAUAUAUAGUGAAGCCAACUUAAAUACCACAUCCUCCUUGAAACCACUCCUUCCCUUUCCACUUGAAAGAAAUCUCCGUCCUCUGUACCU
rnacentral:lncRNA from 10 species